ACCCGCUGAACUUAAGCAUAUCAAUAAGCGGAGGAAAAGAAACUAACAAGGAUUCCCCUAGUAACUGCGAGUGAAGCGGGAACAGCUCAAAUUUGAAAUCUCCAGGGUCCCCCUGGCGAAUUGUAGUUUAGAGAAGCGUUUUCGGAGACAGUCUUGGUUCAAGUCCCUUGGAACAGGGUGUCAUAGAGGGUGAGAACCCCGUUAAACCUUGACUCGUCUUCAUGUGAUACGCUUUCCAAGAGUCGGGUUGUUUGGGAUUGCAGCCCAAAAUGGGAGGUAAAUUUCUUCUAAAGCUAAAUACUGGCGAGAGACCGAUAGCGAACAAGUACCGUGAGGGAAAGAUGAAAAGAACUUUGAAAAGAGAGUUAAAUAGUACGUGAAAUUGUCAAAAGGGAACGGUUUGAAACCAGUCAUGCUGUCUGGUAUUCAGCAGGUCACCCCGACCUGUGCUCUUACCAGAUGGCAGGUCAACGUCAGUUUUCUUCGCAGUGAAAAGCCAGGUGGAGGUAGCUUGACUUCGGUUGAGUGUUAUAACUCUUGGUUCUGCUGUGUGGGAAGACUGAGGACUGCAGGGCGCACUGGGCUACCCGAGUAAGUCAAAGCUUUUCAGCAGACUGCAUGCAGGCUGUUGGAAAGUCGUAGCUUUUCUUGGUUCUGUCUCUACGUUCCCUUAGGACGUUGACGAAAUGGUUUCAAACCACCCGUCUUGAAACACGG
rnacentral:rRNA from 2 species